AUCAUCGUGAGGUGGCGGGGAGAGGAAGGAAUAGCGAAAUCGUGGCACUACGAACAGGAACGUGAUAUCAAGGCGUAUAUAGCGGAUGAGGUGGCACUAAACACUAAGGUCCCAAAGGAAGUACCCCCCAACCAGUCUUACGAGUUGCCUAAACUAAAUGGAGGAGACCGUCAGCUUGGCAUCCC
rfam:Streptococcus gallolyticus strain ICDDRB-NRC-S1, complete genome.